rnacentral:rRNA from 1 species
GGUGGCGCCAGCCGGCGCGGUGUAGACCGUGAGCGUAGGAGUCUUCAUGUCCGGGGUCGGUCUUCCUGCGAGUUGGGCCGUGAACUCGGAAUGCCACGUAGUCACGGGUCAGCAUCCCGUGCCGACUACGUCCCUGCCCUUUGUACACACCGCCCGUCGCUACCUUCGGUGGACGGCGCAGCCAGGACCCCGGAGUGGCCGGCGAGACGGGGCUUCGUGCCCCCGAAAUGGCAGUUGCCGCGAUGUCGCCCGAACUGCGCUGCCCCGAGAGGGUAAAAGUCGUAACAAGGUUACCGUAGGUGAACCUUCGGUAGGAUC